AUCAGGGCAAUCACACCCAGGCUGAGAGCAGUGGAUCAUUCUAGUGUGUGCAUCCCUGCUCCUCUUUCCCACCCCAAAGGGGUCAGGGCCCUUUCAAAGGCUAUCACUGCAUGGCUUGCAGGGGGGGAAGCCAUUUGGUCCUUGUGGUUGGUGGAGCCCCAAAGCAGGAUGAGUCCCAGACUGGCAUCGCUCUCAUGUUGCUAAGGACCAAUUGAGCCCUCUCUACUUUCUUAUAGCAGCCCAACAGUACUCACCAAACAAUCAAAACUCCACACCUACUGCUGCUUGCCCACACUGAACCUGCCAGUUGUGACCUAAUUGCUUAUCUGCAAACGGGGGGCAGAAUGGAGUACUAAAAAAACCCCACCACCCUUCCAAACCCUGCCAAUUUGUCAAAAAGCAAAAAAUUCUUAUUUAGCCCUGCAAAGGAUGACCAGGGUGGAAAGGAGGGGAGCCUCACAAACAGAGGCUGAGCUAUCAGUAGCGAGUUGCUCCCUGAAGUGCUCAACCGGCCACACACCUCACGGAAUCCCCAGCCAAAACCCAGCAGCGUUGCAGCCUCAGGCCUUAUCCCAACAUUGGGCGAAGCAAAGUCACCCUCCCCAGCAUGAGGUUGGGGUGCACUGAUAUUCUCCCACCAUGUCCGGAGCCGUGGAACACAGGAAGCUGCCUUAUACCGAGACAGACCAUUGGUCCCUUUUGCUCUUCAUUGUCUACCCCAUUUGGCAACAGCUUCUCCAAGGUUUCAAAGCAAGAGUCUUUCCCAGCCCUAACUGGAGAUGCCAGGGAGUGAACCUGGGACUUUCUUUUCUUGGGAACAAAUUUUUUAUUGAAACAGCAAACUACCAGAAAUAUCCUUUACGAUAUCGUUAUACAACUAUGUACAGAGAGAAAAUAUUUACAUUAGAUAUACAGGCCUCUGCCCUGGCCAAUGGGAAAGACGUUGUGUGUCACUCCAGCCUGAAGACCUCACUCUCGUCUCUCUGCAGAAGGUCGAGUGGAGGGGGAUAAACAACUGCCAGAGUGCAGACCAUAGGUAUCAGCAGCAGCACAAGUCUACAUCGAAAGAGUCCCCUUUAUUCAUCUGAUCAGUAAUCCUCAGGAGUUGGACGAUUGCUCGAUGCAUUCCUGAUUUCAUUCACCUGUGCAGCUUGAUUGAUGAAUUUACCUUUUAGUGUGGUCUUAAAAGCUUCCUAUAUAAUAUUUAGUUCUAUGUCACAUUUUAGAGUAAAAAUAUUCAUUCAUCCUUUUUUUCUAGCUGUGCUGUAACAAAUUUGUUGUUUAACAAAUAGGUGUUCAAUUGCCAAGAAAAUAUCUUUUUGUUAUUUACCUGUGGUUGUAAUAGAUACAAUACCCAGUUAUGGUCUGACCAAGUCCUUUCGCCUGUUAGGGUAUCCUGCAAGUAAUGUUGGUGAGAAUCUGUUAUAAAUAUAUAUAGUCUAUUUUAGAGUACAUCUGAUGCCUAGCAGAAAAGUAAGUGUAGUCUCUCUCUGUUGGAUGAGUAAUACUCCAUGUAUCUAAUAAAUUGAUUUUUUUCAACAAUAAUUCUGAGGGAGCUUUUAGGUUUUGGAUAUGUUUUUGUCCACAAAAUGUGUCCCAUCUCUAUAAGCGUUAGUCUCCACUCACAAUCCAGUCUUUUAUUUUGGUUGCUUGCAUAUUUUAAAAUACGGUUUUAAGAAAUUUAUAUUGCCCAGUAUUAUGUGCAUAAACAGAGCACAAACAAGGGUUUAUCGGCUAGUGAGCCCUCUGCACAAAUGUAUUGGCCAUUUGGAUCUUUAUGUAUUUUUUAUAGAUGGAAAGAGCAAUCUCUUGAUAAUAAAAUGGUUACACCUCUUGA